ACAACACUUUUCCGGAUCCGACCAUCGCUGUCCAAAAAUUCCGCUUUGCCUGGAUUUUCAUCGAGUUACCCGAACAUCCUGAGUUUCAACAAACCGAACGGCCUGUUCAAUAACCCGAGCGUAAGACCGACUGAUGGAGCUUUGUUUGGCUCAAAGACAGAUCCGUUCCUAGCUUUAAUCGGGUACAUGGUUCCGCUCUAGUCUCUACUAAUCAGGCGCCGAUCCAAGUUCUCCCAUCCACCCACGUAAAGUCCUUCGAACUCUGAUCAGCUCUUUCUAGCAUCAUCCAAUCCAUUCAGUACAUUCUCAUAGUUCGGCCAGUCAGUCCUCAGAU
rnacentral:lncRNA from 1 species